GAGCAGCGCGCGCAGGCAGCCUUUGCAGCUUUGGGCUUUGCUGCUUUGGCAGAGAGCUCGCGGGUCCAGGGCUCUGUGUUCCUCUCGUCUCUGAGCUCCCGUUGUGAUCACGAGCCACGCUAGGGCUGAGCGCGGCGAGAGAUACUGGUCUAAAGAAGUUCCUGUGAAGGUCACUGCUUUCAAAUAUGUGCAUCAUCAGGCUUUUCGCAGCAUUAUAAAUUGCAAGAGGAGUUUACAGACUGAGGAUGUUCCUGGGUUCUUUCCAGAUUCUUGGACAGCAAUACUGUAGAAGCGAAUCCACAAGACUCUUAGGCAAGCAAAGGUUUUUACUUAAACAGAUAGCUUGUGCCUAAGGAGGAUGCAGCAAGAAAAAAAAGGCGCCGGCUCUCACAGUAGAAGGGGUGAACUCGAAGGAGCCUCUGAGUGGCUUCAGCUAUGACCGCGCAGAGUUCCUAAUGGAUGGGAUGUGCGUUCUUUCAGAGAGCACUUAUUGAGGACAGAGGACACUGUGCUUGAAGUGCUUCCCAAAGCCAAAGAAACAAAACAACACAGCCUCCGCUCUCUCCCCUCAAGGACGGAUUCAAUUCAACAAACAUUUAAAGGGACUAUUAUGAGCCAGUCUCUGUGGGGAAGGCUAAGGGUGCAGUGAUGAGGAGGACAGUGGUGUGGAACGCACACAUCAAACAGUUACAAAAAAGCAUCAGUAAUGACGGUGUGUGGUAAGUGCUGUGAAGGAAAAGUGUAAGAAGAGUCCACAAGAGCAGAUAUCUGAGACAUCUUCUGAUUUAGAGGGUGACCAGAGAAGGCUUUCCUGAGGAAGGGACAAAAAGAUUUUAAAAGAUUCUAUUAUCUGACUGCUUCAGUAAAUACUACAUACCUGAACUUGUUCCAGUAAUAUCAGGAUAACAUAGGUAAGAACCAGGAGAUAUUUUCACUCUCUGGAGGUCUCUUCGGGAACCUUUGGCUGCUUCUUUUCCUUGUGUCUGUAUUGUCCUUUCUGAUAAGGAAGUGAUACUGGAAAUGGUGGUAGGAAGUAAUUUUGAUGCCCUAAAAAUACAAUUAUUGCUUGCACUAUGUCUCAGACCAGGAGGGUGAGUAACUCACCUGUCUCCAUCUGUGCCUGCUCCUUUAAGCCUAGAAAGCAGUAACAACCAGAGAAUUUUAAGCUUAAACAUGUAGGGAAGUUUCCUAAAAGUGUAUGAAAGACUAAUGCAGAAAUACUUUAGAUAUAUUAUAGCAUUAGACUCUGUCUUUUAAAAUACCCAUAAUUGAAACAUUUCUCUCAAGUUUUGCCUACAAAAUAUAAUUAAUAAGUAUGUUAUAAUUAAUAUCAUUAGUUAAUUUAAGCCAAUUAAAUAUUAAAAUGCUAUGUGUUUUAUUAGGAUCCUCCGAGUGGUUACUAGUAUGAUUUUUAAAAUUGAAGUAUAGUUGUGUGUAAGUUGCAGGUGUAAAAUAUAGUGAUUCACAACUUUUUUAAGUUAUACCCCUUUUGUAGUUAUUGUAAAAUAUUGGCUGUAUUCCCUGUGUUGUACAAUAUGUUUCUGUAGCUUAUUUUAUACAUAAUAGUUCGUACCUUUUAAUCCCCUACUCCUAUAUUGCCCUCCCCUUCCCCACUGGUAACCACUAGUUUGUUCUCUAUAUCUGUGAUUCUGCUUCAUUUUUGUUAUAUUCACUAGUUUGUUGUACUUUUUUAGAUUCCACGUAUAAGUGAUAUCAUACAGUAUCUGUCUUUAUCUGACUCAUUUCACUUAGCAUAAUACCCUCCAAGUCCAUCCAUGUUGAUGCAAAUGGCAAAAUUUCAUUCUGUUUUAUGGCUGAGUAGCAUUCCAUUGUCUGUGGAUACCACAUCUUUUUAUCCAUUCAUCUGUUGAUGGACACUUAGAUUGCUUCCAUAUCUUGGCAAUUGUAAAUAAUGCUGCUAUGAACAUUGAGGUGUGUAUAUCUUUUCAAACCAGUAUGAUUUAAAAUGCAAGCUGAGCUUAGAUAAAGCCGUUCAAUAUUGUGAGUUUUUUUUCCUAAAGAUAUAAAUCUAAACCUCUGAUUAUAUAAUUUGCAGUUAGUCUUACCUAUUGAAGUGUAAUUUUUUUGGUAACAAUAUUCAGUUAAUUGAUUGUUGCUAAGAUAAUUGCAAAAUGAGGAAGAGAUAAUUAAAAGUGUUUUUGGCAAUUUGGGGGGCAGAGGAUAGGAGAGAGCAUGUGGUAGGCAGAAUAAUGUCCUCCCCAAAGAUGCCCAUGUCCUAAUCUCCAGAAACUGUCAAUAUGUUAGGUUACAUGGCAAAGGGAAAUUAAGGUUGCUAAUUAGCUAACGUUAAAAUAGGGAGAUUAGUUUAUCCAAGUGGCCCCAGUGUAAUCACAGGGUCCUUAAAAGUGGACGAGGAAGGCAGAAGAGGGAGAAUCAGAGAGGUGGUGGCACGAGGAGGACUGGCUUAGAAUUGCUGCCUUUGAUGAUGGGGGAGGGGGCCAUGAGCCAGGGUAAGUGCCUCUAGAAGCUGGAAAAGUCAAGGAAAGAAUUCUUUCCUAGAGUCUUUGAGGGAACACAGCGCUGUGGACAUCCUGAUUUUAGUUGAUCCUGUCAGGCUUUUAACCUCCAAAACUGUAAGAUAAUAAAUUUAUGUUGUUUCAGUCACUAAGUUUUUGGUAAUCUGCUAGAUAGCAACAGGAAACUAACAGGGCAUAAACAGGAGAGGGUGUGUUUUUGGGCAGAAGGUUACAGUGGGAGAGGUGCAGCAGAAGAUAGAGCCAAAAACUAAAGUGAGGGUCAGGUUUUGAGAAGAAUAGAAUUCUUCUGUUCCGGGCAUUUGGAUUAAAUUUGUCUGGCCACAAGAAGCCAGUCUGCAGAACCAGGUUUGUUACAGUUGAAAAGAACUGAUAAUACAAGAGAUGUUCUUAGGAAGAACUGAAGCAUUUGAUAACUGUAUAUAGGGUAAAAAGGACUGAGGGGCACAAAAUGACUUCCACCUGGGCCUCUGGAUGACUGGGGAAAUCAUCAAUAGAAAGAAACAGGGCAGACUUCCUAGU